rnacentral:lncRNA from 1 species
AAUGACUUACAAGCCAAAUGCUUAAUCCUUACUUCACUUAGUGAGGAGCUUAUGAAGCUACAUAAGCACAUGGACACUUCUUGUGCCAUGGAUUGAAAGUUUGCAUAAGAUGCAUGACAUUGAGACUAGUAAUGUACGAUUCUCAAAUGUUUGUAGUCUAAUGAAUGCCAAGAUGGCAAAAGGGGCAUCGGUCCAUAAACAUGGACAAAAGAUGGAAAAGAUAUUUAAAGAUCUUAAAAGUUUAGGAACUUCCA